GAUGAAGAACGUAGCGAAAUGCGAUACUUGGUGUGAAUUGCAGAAUCCCGUGAACCAUCGAGUCUUUGAACGCAAGUUGCGCCCGAAGCCAUCAGGUUGAGGGCACGUCUGCCUGGGCGUCACAUAUCGUUGCCCAAUGCCUAUUGCAGUGCAAUAGGAAUUUCUAGGGCGAAUGAUGGCUUCCCGUGAUCGUUGUUGCCUCGCGGUUGGUUGAAAAUCGAGUCCUUGGUAGGGUGUGCCAUGGUAGAUGGUGGUCGAGUUAGAACGAUACCGAUCAUGUGCAUGCUCCCCAAAAUAUGGCCUCUAUGACCCACACGCGUCUUUUGACGCUCAUGACGAGACCUCAGGUCAGGCGGGGCUACCCGCUGAAUUUAAGCAUAUCAAUAAGCGGAGA
rnacentral:misc_RNA from 1 species